rnacentral:tRNA from 1 species
GGGCCCGUGGCCUAGUAUGGAUCAGGGCGUCGGCCUCCGGAGUCGAUGGUCGAGGGUUCAAAUCCCUCCGGGCCCGCCA